rnacentral:misc_RNA from 1 species
AACGCACCUUGCGCUCCUUGGUAUUCCUCGGAGCAUGCCUGUUUGAGUAUCAUGAAACCCUCAAAAUAAAUCUUUUGUUCAUUCAAUCGAUUUUAUUUUGGACUUUGGAGGUCUGCAGAUUUUUUACGGUCUGCUCCUCUCAAAUGCAUUAGCUGGAUCUCAGCGAGCCCCCCUCGGUUCCACUCGGCGUGAUAAGAGUAAAUCCACUCGUUGAGGACACUGUAAAGUGGCCGGGAUUUUGCAGAUGAGAACCGCUCCUAAUCGUCUAUUGGUUUAGACAAUUAAAAUUUAUGAUCUGAUCUCAAAUCAGGUAGGACUACCCGCUGAACUUAA